AACAAAAAAAUAUUCAGUUGGUAGAAAAUCCAUGGCAAAAUGUAUGGUACUUUUGCUUCUAUAACUUAUAAAGAAAAUACACAGGCACUUAAAAUAAUUGUAUAUGCAACCAACUCUAACAUGGGGAAAAAUUUUUAAACAAUAAGGCAAAAAGCAAAACAUAAAACCAAGCACCCCAAACACCCCUUUAACCUUGGUAUACCAACUAUUUUAUAGGAUUUUAGGAACUUCUAAAACUUUAUUCUGAAAUAAUUAUAGAUUCAUAGGAAGUUGCAUAGAGAGGUCCUGUGUAUUCUUCACCCAGUUUCCUGCAAUGAUUACAUCUUAUAUAAUUACAAUGUCAAAACCAGGAAGCUGCUGUUGGAAUGAUGCCUGGGCGUAGAUCUAUGUCACUUUAUCACAUGUGUAGAUUCCUGUAACUAUCACUGCAAUCAAGAUACAGAACUAUUCCAUCACCACAAAGCUCUCCCUCCUGCUGUCCUUUCUUUAGAGUCAUACCCAUCUCCCUUCCCAAACAAUACCUAAUUCUUGAACCGCUAAUCUGUUAUAUGAACUUCUGACCCUUAUGGAUAAAUCAUCAUUACUCAUAUGCUUUUGUGUCCUCCCCUUUUUCUUAUGGCAUUGUUAAUAUACUUUUUUUCUUGAAUAGAGACCAGCUAUCAUUUUAUUUUGAAUUUUUGAAUUUGAUUUAUUUUUAUACAGCAGGUUCUUAUUAGUUAUCUAUUUUAUACAUGAGACCAGCUAUCAUUUUUAAUGAGAGGUUUUUAUAUUAACAAACUGCAGUUUAACUGUCCCAGUUCUUUUCCUAUUAUAUAUAGCAAACUUUUGUAAUUAGAAAAAAAAAAAAGGAUUUUUCUUUUUUUUUUUGGCUGUACCACACGGCUUGUGGGAUCUUAGUUCCCCGACCCGGGGUGGAACCUGGGCCCCCAGCAGUGAAAGCGCAGAGCCCUAACCACUGGACCACCAAAGAAUUCCUGGAUUUUCCUUUUCCUUUGAGAGUUAUUUGUAGAAUGUAUUGCAAAAAGCGAGAUGAUCGUAUCAAAAGGUAAUGUCAGGUUUUAUAGUUUUUGUUGCUUACCGCUGGACAAUACACCAGAAAGAUUACAUUUACGUCAGGAGUAAUACAUACAUGUACUCAUUUUUUUUUUCAUGAUCAACUAAUUACAUUAGUGGGGCAAAAAUCAAAAGGAAUAAGAAAAAGGGAAAUGACAUAUUAAAAAACCCCCAAUAUUUGUAUCUUAAUAUCUGACAUGGAAACAAUGCAGAUUAUUGGUUGAGAGUACAGGGCUCUGAAGCCAGAUUGUCAAAGUCUGAAUUACAAUUGCAUUAGUAAUUGUGUCCACUGGCAAGUUACUCUCCCUAAACCUCAAUUUCCUCAUGUAUGAAACAGGGAGAGCAGGCCCAACUGACUAAUGCUAGCCUUUCACUUUCUGUUCAGAUGAAGAGCAAAGUUAGAAGAGAAACUUUACUGAAUAGCUUAAAAAUCCAAUUAAAACCCCUCGAUUAUUUCAAAUGGAGUUAGAAAAAGUAAAGUGCCAUCUAUUGUUCAACUUUGUGAACUACAAUAGUACAUUUGCUUGUAUAACUGCCUAAUAUAUAUAUAUAUAUGUAUAUAUAUUUUGAGUAAACGUCCUGCUGAAGUGAGCACAUAUGUUUUUUGAAAAUAUUUUCCACCAUGAAAUUCUGAUAUUUUCUUUAACAUACUGAUGAUGUCUGCAGAAAGGAAAUAAUUUUACAGAUGAAAAUAUUCUUUCACUAGCAUGGUAAUCCUCCCUUCUCCAGUUAUUUGUCUCCUGAUCCUCUGCAGUUUACUUUCUACACACACCUCCUUUUAGCUACUGGAAAUUACUGAAGAAGACUAGAAAAAGUUUUGAAUGUUCAUAGGAAGCCUCUGUGAUUCAAAUGAAGAGAAAGAUAGCCAGGCCUGGAUCACAAUUCUCUCUUCUUUUCCUGUUCCCAACAAUAAUGGUUUCAUGUAAGGUUUCAAAGACUUCAAAAUUAUCUCUGGUGACCAAACUGUUUCAAAAAAAUAAAAAGGGUGCGGAAGCUGUAGCUGUUGAUGCAGCGCCAUGAGGAGCAGAAACAGGAAGGUGAACAGAGGAAGUGGAAGCAGCCCCGGCGG